GUGAGCAGACAGCCUUUCUUUUGCUUGUGGGAUCUGCUGACGUUGCUCCUCUCUGUUAAGGCCUGCGUUUAUUUUUUAAUUUCAUUGAGUUACUUUGAGAUAAAAUAAUUUCCAGCUUGAUUUACAAGGGAGACAGCUACAAAGAUGAGGCAGCUAAAAGGGAAAGUGAAAGAGAACAAGAAAGAAAAGAGAGAAAGAAGAAUGGACAAUUUAAAGAAUAAGGAAAGGAUAUACACAGUUGUGCUUCCAGUGUUCUUCACAAUAGCGACUCUGAUUGCUUUGUAUGUAUAUGUUAAUACAAGACCAAAGAUUCAAAACUGAAGAGAAAGAUGGCAGAAGAUUUGUGUUGUUCCCAAUUCAAAAGAACAGGAAAUUUAAGGACCAAAGCUUACGCUUACAACUGUUAUACCUAAACCAUUCUGACUUUGUUAAAUGUACAAGGGCUUCCUAAUUUUUCCUUAACAGCUGUGCCUUGCAUAUAUUUUCAUAUUCAGAUUUUUCUACUCUUAACUAUUU